CUUUGGUCCUGAAUCCUUUGUCUCCUUUCCCAGCUAAGUGAGAUAAGUGAAGUUGCUCAGUCCUGUCUGACUCUUUGUGACCUCAUGCACUGUAGCCUACCAGGCUUCUCCAUCCAUGGGAUUUUCCAGGCAAGGGUACUGGAGUGGGUUGCCAUUUCCUUCUCUCUAAGGUAGGUCAAUGGGAUAAAACUAAGUAUUGUGAAAAUAUUUUAUCAAAUUAACCAGUAAAAUCUGAAAGGUGAUUAUAAAUCUGUCACCAUACAUUUCAAAUAUUAAAAGUAAUUUUAAAACAUUGUUUUAUUAGGGAUAACAUUCUACUAACAUUUUCUUCUAAUCAUCAUCCUGACAGGUACUAAUACAUUAGAUGUUCAAAACACAAUUCGAUGUUAACUGAAUCGCUAGGCUUUUGGGGGGGUCUUCACUGUGACCUCUGAUACUGCCCCCAGUUGUUGGAAUAUGAAUCCUUGCUUUGAAAUUUCCGGCUUUGUCAUCUUAGAAUUUGAUUGCAUUCAUCAUCUGUUUGCUGUAAGUUUUAAUUGGCUCCAGUAAUACCAGGGUUACUUUGAAGAGUUUCCAGUGCUAAAUAACUCAUGACCCUAUGUACUAUCUAGAACUGUAAUUGAAGGUAAGGAAGAAUAAUAUUCUCAGAACUCCUUCUUAAAAGAGAACUUACAAGAAAGGAAAAAUAAAGCAGAUAAAAGCAGAGCUAUUCCUGUUGAGGCUGGGUCGUGGCAGAGAAUCUCCUCAACACAAAUAGAAACUAUAGCACUCAGAAGGGCAUAUCCUUCAUGUCUCUGGAAUUUAAUUGAUAGAAUGGAAUGGAAAUAGGGUGAGGGAGAGAUGCCAAAUUCAUCCCAAACCGAGUCCACUUCCGGGAUGCUCUGAGGAAUGAGGAGGCAGAACUGAUGAAAGUGAAUUCUUUGAAGGACUUAAAAGUCUCAUGAAAGGAAGUCCAUUCCUUCUGAGAGAAGAAGGAGUGAGGUUGAGAAGCUAGUAACAAAGCCUUAGUCAUAGAGGGAUGAGCAAUUGUGCCAUAGGUUACCUAGCACACCAAAUGUCCUCAUCCAGGAACUAAUGGUCUAAUAUAAUCUAUGAGUCUUGCAGAUGUGCAGGUCUGGAGAAGGAUUCAUGGGAGCCUAAAUUCAAAAAGAAGAGGCUGUUUCAUUAAGAAUUCUGUGAGGAAAAUAAUGUUGAGUAUAAACAGCGCACUUUGGUACCCUUGUGGAAUGGUAUUAACAUUGCAUGAAAGAGCUAUUUUUAAAAAGCUUGGUUUCUGAGCAUUGGGAUAUCGAAAAGGUGCCUAGCCUACCUGCUAUGAGAUGGAAUAAUCUUGAUCCUAGCUUCAGAACAGGGGCUGUCACAG
ensembl:lncRNA